rnacentral:rRNA from 1 species
GAUGAACGCUAGCUACAGGCUUAACACAUGCAAGUCGAGGGGUAACGAGAGGAAAGCUUGCUUUCCUUGUCGACGACCGGCGCACGGGUGAGUAACGCGUAUCCAACCUGCCCCCAACUAGGGAAUAACCUUGCGAAAGUAAGACUAAUACCCUAUAAUUUCCUCAGAUGUCAUCUGACGAGGAAUAAAGAUUUAUCGGCUGUGGAUGGGGAUGCGUCUGAUUAGCUUGUUGGCGGGGUAACGGCCCACCAAGGCAACGAUCAGUAGGGGUUCUGGGAGGAAGGUCCCCCACAUUGGAACUGAGACACGGUCCAAACUCCUACGGGAGACAGCAGUGAGGAAUAUUGGUCAAUGGGCGGAAGCCUGAACCAGCCAAGUAGCGUGCAGGAUGACGGCCCUAUGGGUUGUAAACUGCUUUUAUACAGGAAUAAAGUUAGCCACGUGUGGUUAUUUGUAGGUACUGUAUGAAUAAGGACCGGCUAAUUCCGUGCCAGCAGCCGCCGCAG